rnacentral:rRNA from 1 species
CUAUAUACCGCCGUCGUCAGCUUACCCCGUGAAGGCCUAAUAGUAAGCAAAAUUGGUACACCCAAAAACGUCAGGUCGAGGUGUAGCGUAUGAAGUGGAAAGAAAUGGGCUACAUU